UACCCAAAGAAGCAGCAGCAAUUAGUACUCUCCCAAUGUUGUCGAAGGACCAAGGACCAAGGACCCAGCAAGCGGGCUAUGCAGUUGAUGCAUAAUCAUCAUUACGGGCCAUCUUUUCUGAGCCAUCACCCACAAUCGACCAAGAAAAUGAGCAGCCACCACAAAAACAAAGGCUCCCCUGGAGACUCAUACCACUACCAAAGCCAACCAAGGCUGUUGCACAGGAUCCUGAACAGACCUGCAGCAGAGACCAAGCCAUAGAACACGCAGUUGUCCCCGACGACAUAACAAAACUCAAAAGAAAAAUGCGCAAACGAUCUCUAUGAGCCAGGAAGAACAAAGCAAAAUCAUCUACAGCUGAGAGCCCUAAAAAACAAACCAUAUUGAAACCAUGAGUAAAUUGCACCACAUCUUGGGGAACAAAAGAGGCCUGGAGAUCAACUUUGCAAGUCCACGUUCCAUGGAGUCUGGAUCCACAGUAAUUUUUCCACGCAUUUUAGAUUUUCUAUUAAUUAAUAAUUAAUUUCUUAAGAGUGUAAAAGCUUGGCAGAAGCUGCAUAAAAAAA